UGGGUGAAAGAAAACCAGCAAGUGGGUCCAAAGGAAUUGCAGAAGAACAUCAAAGAUAAGUUCAAGAUAGAUUUACCAUACAUGAGGUUGUUCAAUGGUAAACAACAUGCUAUGGAUUCUAUUUAUGGUAACUGGCAGGAAAGUUUUCAAUUGUUGUAUUCAUUCAAAGGUGAAGUGGAGAGGACAAGCCCAGGUAGUAUUGUAGAUAUUGAUCACCACACCGUGGAGUACACAUUCAGGGGAGUGACAAAGACCAAGGAAUGUUUUAGAAGUGUUUUUGUCUGCUUUGAGGCUUGUCGCCGGGGUUUUUUGGCAGGCUGCAGGCCUUAUUUGGCUAUUGAUGCCACUUUUCUCACAGGAAGGUUUAAAGGACAGUUAGUAGCAGCUUGUGCAGUUGAUGCACAUAGUUUUGUAUUUCCAGUUGCCUAUGGUGUGCUAGAGACAGAGUCUGAGGAGAGCUGGACUUGGUUUUUGCAUAAUCUCCGCCGGGCUAUUGCACAUCCCAAUGGGUUGGUCAUUCAUACAGAUGCCUGCAAAGGUUUAGAAGUGGCCGUGGACAAUGUGUUCCCUGGAGUAGAGCAUAGGGAAUGCAUGCGUCACCUUGCUGCAAAUUUCAUGAAGAAAUUCAAAGGAAAGGUGUAUACCGACAAUUUAUGGCCAGCAUCUUUGACAUGCAGUGUGAAGAAGCACAACUACCACUUGAGGCAGUUAUACAUGAAUCCCAAAGUGAAAGAAUACUUGGAAACACACCACUCCAAGUUAUGGGCCAGAAGCCAAUUCAGUGAAGUGAGCAAAGUUGACUAUGUGCACAAUAAUCUAGCAGAGUCUUUCAACUCAACGAUCCGGAAACUAAAG
rnacentral:rRNA from 1 species